CUGGCAGCAAGAAUCAACUGCAAUAUAAGCGGACCCUUGCCUGUUAUGGAUCUUGCUUAGGACCAAAGCCCAAUCAAUAUUAGCUUCACCUCGAAUGGGAAAACAGUGGCGCACAGUGACUUCACAUGGGUGGCAUUCGGACCAGAAAAAGCUUGAAUACCGAGUGAAACAGAUUCUGUCGCCUGACAGUGAAUACCCCCCACUGUGAUCCUUUCUCCCCCUCUGCACAAUGUUUUAUAUGUGAGUAUAUAAUAAAGAAGCAACCCUGAAAAAGAAGCACUGGGAAGGGUUUAAAUCACUGUAAGACUCACCGCAGACGACUGUAACUCAGGAGGUAGUAGAUCACUCCCGGAUGAAGCGGGGUGAAACGCGUUGGAGUGUGAGGUGGGGAACACCGGAGCAGACGGCUGUGCAAUCCAG